rnacentral:lncRNA from 1 species
AUUGUGGAGAUGAUUGACCUGGCAUACAUGUGGUUUUGCUACUCUCAAGCUUGGUUCUUAUAUACGUAGUACUAUUUUCUGGGAAAUUAUACGGGUUUUUCGGUGAGGGGUUAUUACUUUUGGAAAGAUAAAUGGUUUUGAAAAGCUUUGUUUUUACCCACUCACACUUUUUGUUUUGCGCCCCUCCAGAUUCUAGAUAGAAGUUUGGGUUGGUGGCUCACAAGGACUCCACGGCAGUUCUGACAAACAUCCACCAAUGUAGGGUUUCUUUUAUGAUCUGUAUAAUUAGACUUCUGGACUGCGUUCUAAUACCUAUGCUUUGGUUGUGUGUGUACUUACACUUUAAACACUUUCACUCGCACUAAUAUGCUAGUCUAGUGUAAAUUAGUUAGUUGGUUUUUAUUUAUCCGUAUUUUUAUAUCACGUUCACUUCCGCACAGCGCACAUGGCUAUGUCACCCUUACGUGACAGCCAGCAUGCCUCGAUUAGGGUCGGGGUGUGUCAGUAUUAGUUUUGCUCGAUAUAAUGCAAGGGUGGCUUCCACAAGAACUUAAAUAUUGGUCUCACUCUAAGAGCACUUUCAUGGGUCUUGAAUUAACUAAGCAGUUUGGGUUGAAGGCAAAAACUGUCCAAAAACACACUUCCUAGCGAGUCUUAAUUAUCAGGCAAGAGGUGGGGUGCAUGGAUGUCACGCCCUGAACUAGGGUCAGUAAUAACAACUCAAACCCGAAUCCAAAACGUGAGUUAAAACUAAAUAAUUACUAGGAAAUUGUCACGGGUUGGAAAAUAAAUUCCUCUUAUAAAAAUAACUCAUGAUUCUUAGACAAAUCUAGAAUUAUAGUAAAUAGAUGAAUAAACUCUAUAUUCUCCAAUCUAAUCCGAUCACAUCCUGCCUACCAUCUUGAAUGUAUAGUUCGUAAACCUGCAUAACAAAAGAGGGAUGAGUUUCAACAGCUUAAUAGGGACAUAACCUUACCACGGUAAAUUGACAAUACUAAAUUAAGUGUCAUGGAAUCAUAUAGCCAAAUUUCAAAUCAUUAUUGAUAACAAUGCAUGAAUGUAAUGCAACCUCUUCGGCUACACCUGUUAAUUUAUAUAAUAAAACAUGCGGAUAUCCACGCCCCAUACCGUGCAUUUUACCACUGCAAUGGUGAUUCGAAUAUUCUAUUAUACAAAUUAACCCCCAUAAUAUAUCCCAAGUUCAUAAACCCCUUUUGUUAGUCAUCUUAUCUAAUUCAUUGAUCUCCAUCCCAAAUCGCCCACAUCAACAAUUCAUCCCGUCGAUAUCCUAUUCUAAUGUGCACAUAGGGUUUUCCUAGGACCUAGUUCACAAUGAAUAGAUUCCACUACACAAAAGAUCAUUUCCAGACCAAUCUAAACACCUUUCCAAUUACCCUCAUUUCUAGACCAAUCUAAACAGUGAAGUUCUAACCACAUUAACAUGAAUGAUGCACAUAUAAUAUCAUUUCAUUUUUACGUAUAUCACAGUAUAUUCUCAACGAAUUACAUUCCAACAAUAAUUCCAUAACUAAUAACAAGUAAAACUAAACGAAGCAAUUAGCUAAUUAAUAUCCAACCACAUUAAUCAACUAAAAAGAUAAAGAAUACUCAACCACUUCACGAAAUUUAAUAAAAUCAAUUUCCGUAAAGGUUUGCCGUAUUUCCCCUACUUGGAUUCCAAGGCUAAAAUGAAAAUCCACGUCACUACCGAAAUAGUUAAGCUCCACGUAAUUAUCCAUGUCACUACCAAAAUGGCUAAAUUCCUCAUAUUUGAGGAAGCUCCUUGAUCACUCCUAACACCAUACUCUCUUUUAUUUUCUAAUCUCUCAUAUAUAAAUAUAAGAACUAAACCUAUGUAUAUAGCAUAAGUACAGAACAUGUUUGCAUGCACUUGCAUGUCAAACUCUCAUAAUUUCUCUCUACAAAGGCUUAACAUGCAUGAAACCAUAUAUCUCACUACAUCGUCCAACCCGUGCACCAGUUGGUAACCAAAAUCAAAGGAAUGAAGUCCCUAUUUAUAGGGGAAAAUGCAGCUACCAAUGUAAUUUGAAAUUUGAUUGGACAGUGUGACGGCAAAGGAUAAAACCAAUGAACCUGUCUAGUUCUUCUACAAGCUCCUACGUGUAAAGAUGAGGAGAGCUGAUACUAUGCAUCCAACACCUAAUUGCUUAGUCACUUAGUUGAUGCAACAGGUGUCAAUAGCAACUCAAAAGAUUUAACCUGCAACUGCCACCUCAAAUACAAAAGUGCUUACAAGCACCUUAAUUCAGAUAGCUAAGAACCAAGUCAUGACACGUCCAACCUUAGGUGGAUCUCCAAGUUUGCUGGAAUUACACACCUACUAAUCUGCAUGAAACAUUUAAGCCACCUCCCACUUUUUGUUUUCCUAAUCAUGUCUCGACAGCCCACGUAUUCUUAUUCUAGAAUACUCCAACUCAACUUAUCUUCCUAAUUAACUAAUGCAAUAUCUUCCACCACAAACUGCCACCUCCCACCUUUAUUUAAUCCUCUCAACUCAAACCUUAAUCAUAAAAAUAAGAUAGUGUCAAUAUGCUUAACUACAUGCAUAAAUAAUAUCCACAAUAAAUUCUAAAAAUACAAGAUCUUACAAUCUACCCUUCUUAAAAAAAUUCGUUCUCGAAAUUUAUCCAACCUUAAUCGUUAAAAACUUCCAACCAUCAAAGCCUAUGUUGAUAAGUCAAUUAAUAUAAGAAUGUAAAUCGAUAUUAAGACUUCCUAAAAUUGAUUCUUAAAACCAGUCAGCUCAAGUCCUCAUAUAUAAAGAUCAUCCAUCCAUCUAUCAUCGUAGUCGUUCAACUUCAAUUAACCUCAUUUUUCCAAAAAUGUCAACAGAAACAACCACUCAAUACUUUUCAAGUCCAUGUCUCAAAAAUUGUCGAGUUCACUAAAUGAUUCCGAAGUUGAGUACUAACCUAUAAAAUCUUGUAAAACUCAUCAAAUAUCAGACCUUAUAUUCCACAUCAAUAUCCGUAAAUUUAUUUCUUAAACCUACAAAUCCAACACUCCACAUAGAUAAUUCAAAGUAUUAAAGUUCUUCAAUUGGAGUCAAUAGUACACAUGUCAUCUGUUAUUCUUGCUUAGGGAUUACUUUGAUCAUCCAAUUCACGACUCUCUAUUCCUUCCAUAACAUUCAUUUAACCACUUAAAUACUUGUGGUAAAGGAAAGUAUAUAUGGCUCUUAGCUCCAACGAUUACUUCAAACUUGUGAUCUUGUACAUAUCAAUCACUUCACUAAUUAACUGCCAAUUCAAAGAGAGAAUCAAUACUAUGCAUCAUAAUCCCUUUGUUUUGUAUUCCAAUUAUUGAUAACCUUAUGCAUACUAAUUAAACAACUGAAGUAAGAUCAUCCAACUCUAAAAAAUCAACAACUUCAAUACAUUUCAAGCCAAUAAGAAUUCUCUAAUAGUCUUAUUUUCACCACAUAUAGUUCAUAUACCUAACUAAUAUUAAGAACCUCAUCAAUUUGUUCCCAUUAUUUCCUCUGGUUUAGUAGUAAGCCUUAACUUCAUUUUCCCUUCAACUCAUUUCUUUUUCUUCUAUUUGAAUUCUAACCACGAGACAACUUCAACACAAUUCUCAUUCCAGUAACUGCAUCCCAGUCAACUAGUAGUCCACAUCCAAAUUUAAAUAGGCCAAUCUCCUAUGAAAUUCCAAGUCACUAAAUUAUGGCACUCCCAACUUCCCUUUGUCUAUUGUAUUUCACUCUUUCUUUAUACAUCUAUCACCAAGAGUGUAUACUUGUGGUUUUCAUUCUCUUUUAAAAUCCUCAGCUCCUUAAUUCUUUUUCUUCUUCAAAUUAACAGAAGCUUAUCCACUGAAAAUUACUCUCUUUCCGUACGGACAAUAUUAUAAUACAGUUGCUCUCUUCUCCAUCUUAAUUUGAUUCCCAAAAUUCGUCAUAUCUUCAUCAAACUAGCUGAUAGACAACCAAAGUUCAUCCUUCCUCUUAAAACAUCUUUUGUCAUCUCUGCUAUUUAUUCAAGCCUAAUUAUCAUUAUACAAAGUCUCAACAACAUAUUUAUACAUUUCUUUUAAAUUCUUCAACACUGAAACAUGUAGAAUACUCUUCUGCAUCAAUAUAGGUACUCUCAAAUUCUUCUGACCAAUAUAUAACUACCCAAAUCCUCAUAUUGAAGCACUAAUUCUCUUUCGUAAUUAUGAUUUUGUAUACAACAAUAACUUUGCAAGUGAUUCUCUGAAAUCGUGAACCAACACUGAGUUAUAACCUAACUCCUAGAGUUCAUAUUAGCUAUAUAAUAAUUUAUAACUCAAUUGCAAAAUUACAAAUCCAAAGUGAUCAUAAUUCUUUGUCUCAUCUUAGGAAUAAAUCUGCCAAUUUGUUCAGUAAUACUCACUGCACAUAUGAUUAUGUGUACUAAUUCUCAAAUAAAUAAAAAAACAAAGUUUAGCAUCUUACAAUCCGUCAACAAAUAGUGACUACUAGCUUCAUAUCUAUCCAUAAGUAAUCCAUAGACCUAUCCAAACCUAAAUUUCCUUCGUAAAUACUAGCUCUUACAUCAAAAUAUAUGAGUAACAAAAUCCAAGUGUUCGUAGCAUCUUAAUCUCUAAUAUACUCAUUCAACAUCACACGUAACUAGCUUAUUAUAAAAUCUUUUUGCAUAAAAUCCUUCUUAUUUGUCCACUGCUCAAGAUCAAAACAACACCAAAACUUACAAAACUCUAUGUCACAUCAAAUUCUCCUCUCAUUCAACUCUUAACUCUAAGAUCGAUUCUAAUCCCUCGACUAAUGAAUAAAUUUACUCGAGAAAUUCAUUUUGUAGAAUUUACUUAUAUACUCCUGUUUGCUUGACUCUUCAGAGUCAAAUGAGUUGAGUACACACUGACUUCUCCAAUUUUUCAUUGCAGUAACAUAACUUACAAAAAAAAAAUUGAUAAUAGUCCUAUCUCUCUCUAAAUGGCAAAACAUUACAACCACGUACUCAAUUUAUUCUUACUUCUUCCAGGGUAAGGAUGACCACUUUCCUCUUACUCAAGUCCACAGUCCAAGUUCUCUCGUCCUUUAGUUACUCUUGAACCCAUUUCAUCUGAAAAAUUCAUCUUAAAUUUAUAUGCAUGCGUUGCUUAACCCAUCCUUUUCGUUUUUUGGAUCAAACUUAAUUUCCUUUCUCAAAAGAUCCACAUAUGAAUUCAAUUGUCAAGAUCAUGUGCAAAAACUGACUUCACAUUUAAGCCUAUUCGUAUACUCUACAUAUCACUAGAGGCCAACCAAAACCCUUACUUCCAAAACCCAUCUCAUAGACUCUUCUAAAUUCAAACCUACCUGGCUCAUGCUAAUAUUUUCCCAGAGUUCAUAUCCAAGGGUUUCUAAUACCUAUGCUAUGAUACCAUUCUGUCAUGCCCAAAAUCCGGAUCAGUAAUAAAAACUCGAACCCGAAUCUGAAACGUGAGUUAAAACUAAAUAAUUAAAAGGAAAUUGCAACGGGUUGGAAAAAAAAUUCCUCUUAUAAAAAUAAAUCAUGAUUCUUAGACAAAUCAAGAAUUCUUUAUAACCUACAAUAAAUAGAUGAAUAAACUUUCUAUUCUCCAAUCUAAUUCGAUCACAUCCUACCUACCCUCUUGAAUGUCUAGUUCGUAAACCUGCAUAACAAUAGAGAGAUGAGCUUCAACAACUCAGUAGGGACAUAACCUUACUACAGUAAAUUGACAAUACUAAAUUAAGUGUCAUGAAAUCAUAUAGCCAAAUAUCAUUAUUGAUAACAAUGCAUGAAUACAAUGCAACCUCUUUGACUACACUUGUUAAUUUAUAAAACAAAACACACGAACCUGCACAUCUCAUACCGUGCAUUUUACCACUGUAGUGGUGGUUCGAAUAUUCUACUAUACAAAUUAACCCCCAUAAGAUAUCCCAAGUUCAUAAACCCCUUUUGUUAGUCAUCUUAUCUAAUUCAUUGAUCUCCAGCCCAAAAUGCCCACAUCGACAAUUUAUCCUACCGAUAUCCUAUUCUAAUGUGCACAUCGGGCUUUCCUAGGACCUGGUUCACAAUGAAUAGAUUCCACUACACAAAAGAUCCUUUCCAAUUACCCUCAUUUCCAGGCCAAUCUAAACAAUGAAGUUCUAACCACAUCAACAUGAAUGAUGCACAAAUAAUGUCAUUUCAUUUUUACAUGUAUCACAGUAUAUUCUCAUUGAAUAACAUUCCAACAAUAAUUCCAUAACUAAUAACAAGUAAAUUAAACGAAGCAAUUAGCCAAUUAAUAUCCAACCACAUUAAUCAGCCAAAAAGAUAAAGAAUAUUCUAAUACUUCACGAAAUUUAAUAAAAUCAGUUUCCGUAAAGGUUUGUUGUAUUUCCCUUACUUGGAUUUCAAAGCUAAAACGAAGAUCCACGUCACUACCGGAAUAGCUAAGCUCCACGUAGUUAUCCAUGUCACUACCGAAAUAGCUAAGUUCCAUGUAUUUGAGGAGCUCCUUCAUCGCUUCUAACACCAUAUAUUUCUUCUACUCUCUUGUAUUUUAUAAUCUCUCAUAUAUAAAUAUAAGAACUAAACCUAUGUAUAUAGCAUAAGUACAGAACAUGUUUGCAUGCACUUGCAUGUUAAACUCUCAUAAUUUCUCUCUGCGAAGGCUUAACAUGCAUGCUUGCAUGUAACCAUAUAUCUCACUACAUCGUUCAACCCGUGCACCAGUUGGUGACCAAAACCAAAGGAAUGAAGUCCCUAUUUAU